CCCCUCUCAGAAUGGCAGCUGGAGAGUGUCUGAUACUCUACCAGUCUCGAUUACAGGAGGGAGAGUCAAGCAGAGGCAUACCCAUCCAUUCCUAGCUUGGGAGUUGGGUAGUGAGUGGAGGGCAAUCUGCUACAAGU